rnacentral:lncRNA from 12 species
CUCCCCUGGGGUGCUUUCCUUCCCUCUGGGCUUCACAGGAGAAGUCCAAAGAGUGGAUGCUGAGACAUGCAGGGGGGUGAGAUCCACAGGACAGGGAGGCCUCGGGGGACAGGACAGGUUUGUUUUGCACAUUCUUCCUAAGUGUUUCUCCUCUGAGAUGGAAGCAGCUCUUAGGCAUUAUGAAAGGAUACCAGAAGAAAUAUGAAGCAGACGCUUUGAAGCCUGAACAAUAGACCUCGGCAGCCCCAACCCAACUUGGCUUAAUUCCGUCUCAAUGAACCAGAGCCAAUACUCUUGGCUCCCUGGCCUUGCUACAACUCUCUGAUCCUUAGAAU